GAUGAACGCUGGCGGCGUACCUAAUACAUGCAAGUCGAGCGAAUGGAUUGAGAGCUUGCUCUUAUGAAGUUAGCGGCGGACGGGUGAGUAACACGUGGGUAACCUGCCCAUAAGACUGGGAUAACUCCGGGAAACCGGGGCUAAUACCGGAUAACAUUUUGAACCGCAUGGUUCGAAAUUAAAAGGCGGCUUCGGCUGUCACUUAUGGAUGGACCCGCGUCGCAUUAGCUAGUUGGUGAGGUAACGGCUCACCAAGGCAACGAUGCGUAGCCGACCUGAGAGGGUGAUCGGCCACACUGGGACUGAGACACGGCCCAGACUCCUACGGGAGGCAGCAGUAGGGAAUCUUCCGCAAUGGACGAAAGUCUGACGGAGCAACGCCGCGUGAGUGAUGAAGGCUUUCGGGUCGUAAAACUCUGUUGUUAGGGAAGAACAAGUGCUAGUUGAAUAAGCUGGCACCUUGACGGUACCUAGCCAGAAAGCCACGGCUAACUACGUGCCAGCAGCCGCAGUAA
rnacentral:rRNA from 1 species